AUUGAACGCUGGCGGCAGGCCUAACACAUGCAAGUCGAACGAGUGGCGGACGGGUGAGUAAUGUCUGGGAAACUGCCCGAUGGAGGGGGAUAACUACUGGAACCGGUAGCUAAUACCGCAUACCAUCGGAUGUGCCCAGAUGGGAUUAGCUAGUAGGUGGGGUAACGUCUCACCUAGGCGACGAUCCCUAGCUGGUCUGAGAGGAUGACCAGCCAAAUGGGAACGGAGACACGGUCCAGAAUCCUACGGGAGGCAGCAGGGGGGAAUAGUGCACAAGGGGCGCAAGACUGAUGCAGCAAUGCCGCGUGUAUGAAGAAGGCCUUCGGGUUGUAAAGUACUUUCAGCGGGGAGGCGUUACUCGCAGAAGAAGCACCGGCUAACUCCGGGCCAGCAGCCGCGGUAAUAC
rnacentral:rRNA from 1 species